rnacentral:tRNA from 1 species
GGUACUUUGGUGUAAUGGUAGCAUAUUUGUCGCGAAAACAUAGAGGUGUGGGUUUGAGUCCCACGCGUACGG